AUGUCUGUCGACCUGUACCCGCCGGCGGUGCCGCCUGAUUUCUGCGGCUUCACAAACCUAAGGGAGCUCAAGCUCGACUCCGUGCUAGGAGAUAUCCAUUGCCUGCUGCUGCCGGCCUUCUCUGUCCUCGAGUGGCUAAGCGUCACACGCUGCACCCUCCACAGCUUCAGUACAUCCCAGCCGCCGGGUCGGCUGCGUUACAUGUGUGUCCAGUACUGUCACAUGCACGAGCUUGAGGUGCAAGCUCCGAAACUUGCCAAGUUCGAGUUUGCCAGCUUUGAGGUCCAUCCGGUAUUUGUGUUGAUGAGUGCGUAG
rnacentral:rRNA from 1 species